AUGGUGAAGUGGUCUGAGAUCUGUAAGCCUAAGGACCAAGGAGGCCUGGGGGUCAUCUCAUCCAAGCGGAUGAAUAUUGCCCUACUCUCCAAAUGGCUCUGGCGAAUUCAGACCGAUGUGGGCGGUCUGUGGCUCGAGAUUAUCCGCGUGAAGUAUCUUCGCGGGCAACCGCUGGCCUUCGCCCCUAGAUCUGGAGGGUCU
rnacentral:rRNA from 1 species